rnacentral:rRNA from 1 species
CCUACGUGAGGCAGCAGUGGGGCAUAUUGCGCAAUGGGCGAAAGCCUGACGCAGCGACGCCGCGUGAGGGAUGAAGGUCUUCGGAUCGUAAACCUCUGUCAGCAGGGAAGAACGGUCACUGUGCUAAUCAGCAGUGAAUUGACGGUACCUGCAAAGGAAGCACCGGCUAACUCCGUGCCAGCAGCCGCGGUAAUACGGAGGGUGCGAGCGUUAAUCGGAAUUACUGGGCGUAAAGCGCUCGUAGGCGGUAUGUCAAGUCAAGGGUGAAAUCCCCGCGCUCAACGUGGGAACUGCCUUUGAAACUGGCAAACUGGAGUGUGUGAGAGGAUAGUGGAAUUCCAGGUGUAGGAGUGAAAUCCGUAGAUAUCUGGAGGAACAUCAGUGGCGAAGGCGACUAUCUGGCACAUAACUGACGCUGAGGAGCGAAAGCGUGGGUAGCAAACAGGAUUAGAUACCCUAGUAGUC